UUUCAUUCAUCUGCUAUGAUGCAUUCAUUCUAGAACUAACUGCUUCUACACAGAACACUCACCUAACCAGAGUCUGGACUAUCACUUGUCUUCGGUGAAAAUUUAUUGUCUAAUCAUAUCCAUCUAUUGUCUAAUCAUGUGUUUCUUCAUGUUCUACUGUUUCUUUAUUCAGGUGACUUGAGUUGGAGUUGGAGAGCCGACACAGAAGACGCAACCAGUAUCCCGGGAAGGUGGACAGGAGAUCAGACGUGUGACGGUACAAGACGUUCAUCACAAGCUCGUCCCAGAAAUGAAGAAACAAAGGAGAUUCUGGAGCCUCAGAGAGAAGGUUAAGGUUGAGGUUAAGGGUUUGUAACUGCACCUACACAUGCACACACAAACAUACAGACCAUACCCUUCACGGGCAGCACGGUGGCCUUGUGAUUAGCACUGUGGCCCCACAGAAAGAAGAUGCUGACAUCUUCUCGAUGUCUCCUUUCUUCUUUCCGUGUGGAGUUAACAUGUUCUCUUAGUGCUUGCGUGGGUUUUCUCCGGGUCCUCCGGUUUCCUCCCACACUAAAAAAAACAUGACACUUAGAAUUCAAAUAAAAGUAUUUGAAUAGAGUA